GGAGGUGUCGCAUAGCGGUCAAUUGCACUGGUCUUGAAAACCAGAGCCUCACGGCUUCACAGGUUCGAAUCCUGUCACCUCCG
rnacentral:tRNA from 1 species